rnacentral:rRNA from 1 species
AACGAACGCUGGCGGCAGGCCUAACACAUGCAAGUCGAGCGAGCAUUUCGGUGCUAGCGGCGGACGGGUGAGUAACGCGUGGGAACGUGCCCUUUUCUGCGGAAUAGUCCUGGGAAACUGGGGGUAAUACCGCAUACGCUCUUUUGGGGAAAGAUUUAUCGGAGAAGGAUCGGCCCGCGUUGGAUUAGGUAGUUGGUGGGGUAAUGGCCCACCAAGCCGACGAUCCAUAGCUGGUUUGAGAGGAUGAUCAGCCACACUGGGACUGAGACACGGCCCAGACUCCUACGGGAGGCAGCAGUGGGGAAUCUUAGACAAUGGGGGCAACCCUGAUCUAGCCAUGCCGCGUGAGUGAUGAAGGCCUUAGGGUUGUAAAGCUCUUUAAGCUGGGAAGAUAAUGACGGUACCAGCAGAAGAAGCCCCGGCUAACUCCGUG